CCUCCUUUCUAAGGAUGGUUCUUCAGAAGCUUGCUUCUAUCGAACCNNNNNNNUNNNAUCAGUGGCCAACGAUCGUCAGGAUCGUUGAGCUGCAUUGGCGGGAUUUCGCCGUCUUCGUUUCUCUUUCUUCGCGGACGAACACGCGCUGGGCCUGCGAGAGCAGGGUCCCUGGUCCUUGACGGGAUAUGCGUUAGGGGCUUGUAGCUCAGUUGGUUAGAGCGCGCGCUUGAUAAGCGUGAGGUCGGAAGUUCAAGUCUUCCCAGGCCCACCACACUCAUCGGGUAAGCAUUCGUCUUCUGGUUACGGGGCCAUAGCUCAGCUGGGAGAGCGCGUGCUUUGCAAGCAUGAGGUCGUCGGUUCGAUCCCGUCUGGCUCCACCAGAUGGUUUGAUCACCGACGCUGUGUUUGCAGCUAUUCAACCGUCGUCCGCGAAACAUCACUUCGCACCUACUAGUCUGGAUAGACAGUAGGUUGCGUGAUUUCUGACAUCGUAAAGAGGAGAUCGAUCCGAGUUGGAUCGGGCAGCAAGCAAUUGCUGCGCGAACCUUCAUUAUCUCCGGAUCAUUUCGGCGCUCGCGCGCCUUUCAAUGCGGCUCACAAGGCUGCGUCUGAGGGGAAUGCGGGUUGUAAAUGAUCCUUUUAGCGAAGCUUGACCGCCUCGCUAUCGGAACGAUCUUACGAAGCAAGCUGGUCUUUCUAAUCAUUGUCCGGCUGUACGUAGCGUUCAUCGAGGGCGCGUGCC
rnacentral:tRNA from 1 species